UACAGAGGGUGCUAGCGUUAAUCGGAUUUACUGGGCGUAAAGGGCGCGUAGGCGGUAAGAUAUGUGUGGUGUGAAAGCCCUGGGCUCAACCUAGGAAGUGCACCGCAAACUGUCUUGCUGGAGUAUAUGAGAGGGUGGCGGAAUUUCCGGUGUAGCGGUGAAAUGCGUAGAGAUCGGAAGGAACGUCGAUGGCGAAGGCAGCCACCUGGCGUAAUACUGACGCUGAGGCGCGAAAGCGUGGGGAGCGAACAGG
rnacentral:rRNA from 1 species